rnacentral:rRNA from 1 species
UGGGGAAUCUUGCGCAAUGGCCGCAAGGCUGACGCAGCGACGCCGCGUGGGGGAGGAAGGGCUUCGGCUCGUAAACCCCUGUUGCCCGGGGCGAACAUCCCGUUUCGACGGGACUGACGGUACCGGGUGAGGAAGCACCGGCUAACUCCGUGCCAGCAGCCGCGGUAAUACGGAGGGUGCGAGCGUUGUCCGGAAUCACUGGGCGUAAAGGGCGCGUAGGCGGCCGAGCAAGGUCGCGGUGAAAGCCCGGGGCUCAACCCCGGGUCGGCCGUGGCAACUACUCGGCUCGAGCACUGUAGGGGCGGGUGGAAUUCCGGGUGUAGCGGUGGAAUGCGUAGAGAUCCGGAAGAACACCGGUGGCGAAGGCGGCCCGCUGGGCAGGAAGGCUCGCAAGAGCCGGCUGACGCUGAGGCGCGACAGCGUGGGGAGCAAACAGG